ensembl:lncRNA
GUGAGAAUGACACCGUGUGUAUGCGUGCGUGCUGCGUGUGUGUAGUGUAGUGUAAUCCAUAUCUCUGCUAGUAGUAUCUCUGGGUUACUGACGUGUGUGCCCGCGCUCUUAUAUCUGUGCGCUCUCGCUUUACGCGCAGUUUGAUGGCGUCGCCGCGCUCUCCUCUCUGUGUUCUUCGACCAUCGCUUACAAUCUGACGAUUUAUGGACGGCGAGGACCAGAUAUUAUGAUAGCACAUUGUCUGGGUUGGUUCUACAACAUCUUCGCCAAAGUGUUCUGUGGAAACUGUCACUGCUUGAGCUCCGAGCCGUGCCGUGAGAGAUAAAAGAGAAGAAGUUUGCCGGAUACAGGUGCGAUCUCUCUCUAACUCCAGCUGAUGAUCACAGACACGGAUCUGGACUGCCGGAUUCCAGUAGAUCAUAUCAGGUCUAGCGCAAGCAAAACACCUCAAUCGCUUAAUCGGAGACAUUCUUGUCUUCCCCUGCACCAGAGACAACACAGUGCCGGACUGAUGACAGCUCACUCAGGGCAGGUCUAAGGACCGCAAGAUUACCUCAAACCGGUGGCAGAGGAUGCCUUUUCACACCUCAACAGGAGGAGGCUAUUUGCACCACGGUCCGAGCAAACAAUGCUAUGAGGCUCAGGGAAAUACAAA